GGAACGACGUCUGCCGUUUCAACGCGGAUGCGAACCGUCGCGCUACCGGGAGUUUCUGUUCUGAGAGCGGAUCCGGUAGAUUGUCUAGGGCAGAAGUCAUCCAGCUUUCCCAGUGGCGGGCGAAGUUCCUGAUGUCGCAAAGCAACCUGCAUUUCCUGCAUGGUCGCUGGAAUGAGGACUUCCGUCAAAACCUAAAAUUAUCGAUCAUAAGAGCGUCUUUAAUAAUAUUGGCGUUUCCUUGUCAAUAGUCAACUCCGAGAACAAACAAGCCGUUCCUGUAACGACUGUUGAUCAAUAAGGUAAUUAAACUUAGACACCUGUCUCUAUUUCUACGGCAGACUCUUGAUGGAGUAGAAAAUGAACACGGUCGAGAGAUAACACGAGGAUAUGCCAGAGAUAUCACGAGGAUAUGCCAUCCGAUAAGGACGUCCAAAGCAUUGUAAAAUUGGGACGCGUGUCAUAUUUAAAGUGGAUAGUGGAUUUGUCAAAUAUUUAUGAUUUGAUAUAAAAUGUGUAAAAACGUAUAAUACAUAUAUUUCAAUAUAAAUUAAAAUAGAAGUUAAGAAGAACAAGUGCCAAACAAUGUGAAAUAAGCCAGAUGUUUAUUACUGAAAUCAAACAUGUAUGUAAUGUCGAAUUUGCCAGUAUGUAUAUCAUGCAUGUACGAUGUGAAUCUAAAUUUAGUUUUACGGAUCAUUUUUAGUGUGAGCGUUAGCUCACACUAAUGUUGCAGACCAUGUUUUGCAAAUCAGUAUGUGCUUAGAAGCCUUAGGUAUGGUAUGGAAAGACAACCACUGCCUGUUGCAGCAGACGACAAAUGCUAUAUAGAGCGUCUGCUAGGAAAGAUAACCACCACAUUUGCCUGUUUAAAGUUCACCACUGGUACACUGCAGAGGGUUUAAAUGACUAAUAGUGUUUAAAGGGAUCUUUUCACGCUUUGGUAAAUUGACAAAAUUGAAAAAAGUUGUUUCAGAUUUGCAAAUUUUCGUUUUAGUUAUGAUAUUUGUGAGGAAACAGUAAUACUGAACAUUUACCAUGGUCUAAUAUAGCCAUUAUAUGCAUCUUUUGACGAUUUUAAAACCUAAAAAUUAUAAAGCGUUGCAACGCGAAACGAUUGAAUAAUUUGGAGAGUUCUGUUUUUGUCGUUAAAUUUUGUGAAACUACGAAGAUUGCUUAUAUAAGGUAUAAAAUACGUCAACUUGUAAGGCGACAUUGACAAGUCUACUGUUUAUCAUUGAAAUCUGUACAUAUUGGCUGCUUUCAGGGAAAACGGGGCUUAAUGCAUGUCAAAUAAGAUUAGCCUGUGCAUACUGAUUAGCCUGUGCAAUGCGCACAAGCUCAUCAAGGACGACAUUUUACAAAAGCGAACACCUACAGUGCCUUCAGCGCUUUGAUAAUUUCCUGCAACGAUAUUUAUUGUAACGACACACGAACACUCACUCCGAUCCUAAUAAAAGGACGAAUGCUUCGGUUAUUGUAGGAAAAUGUGUACGAAAUAUAUUCGUCACAAUCGGCUCGGGGCGCUAAUUUGUAUUUGCUGCAUUUUAUGAAAUUCGUUAUCAAUGUAUAAUUUUCUUGCCUAUUUUGUUUAUUGUAACAUAUUUUUUUUAUCAAUAUUACAAUUUAGAACAUGUCAAAAUCGUGCAUACCCAUUUAAACAAACAGAGAAAAUGCGGAGGCGUAGUUUAGUUAGCGUAUUACAGUAAUGCACACGACAUAUGUAUGAUUUACAAUUGCACAUGUAUGUCUCAUGUACAGCUUUGGUAGUGUAAAGUUGUGUACACGGAAUGGGCAUACAUUACAGUUACGAUGGUGUGGCUUAGGUAACGUGCGUGUAUAUGUGCUCGGCAUAUGAAUAUGUAUGCCAAUAAUAGAUUAAGAAUGCACUUGUCGCUUAUACAUAAUAAUUAUAGAUUUUUGUUAGAUGCCGAUCUGGUAAACGAUUCGAUUUUAUGAACAUUUUCUUUCAGCAACACAUGUUUUAAUUACGUAAAAAUAUUUGUAUAAGAAUAUAAUUUAACAACACGAGCCCCGAUACGAUAUAUUUAACAUGUUUUUUUUUCAAAACUUAACUGGCAAAUGUUCGACUUUAACCUUGAUUAAAACACGACAUCCCAUGGUA